rnacentral:rRNA from 1 species
CCCUUAGAUGUUCUGGGCCGCACGCGCGCUACACUGAUCAGUGCAACAAGCAUCCGUCCUUGGCCGACAGGCCCGGGCAAUCUUUGAACGCUGAUCGUGAUGGGGAUAGACUUUUGCAAUUUUUGGUCUUCAACGAGGAAUUCCUAGUAAACGCAAGUCAUCAACUUGCAUUGAUUACGUCCCUGCCCUUUGUACACACCGCCCGUCGCACCUACCGAUUGAAUGGUCCGGUGAAGCCUCCGGAUUGGCGUGCACCCUCGGGUGCUGCCGAGAAGUUGGCUAAACCUUAUCAUUUAGAGGAAGGUGAAGUCGUAACA